rnacentral:rRNA from 1 species
ACCAAUGCGACGAUCAGUAGCUGGUCUGAGAGGAUGAUCAGCCACACUGGGACUGAGACACGGCCCAGACUCCUACGGGAGGCAGCAGUGGGGAAUUUUCCGCAAUGGGCGAAAGCCUGACGGAGCAAUACCGCGUGAGGGAGGAAGGCUCUUGGGUCGUAAACCUCUUUUCUCAAGGAAGAAGAAAGUGACGGUACUUGAGGAAUAAGCAUCGGCUAACUCCGUGCCAGCAGCCGCGGUAAUACGGAGGAUGCAAGCGUUAUCCGGAAUGAUUGGGCGUAAAGGGUCCGCAGGUGGAACUGAAAGUCUGCUGUUAAAGAAUCUGGCUCAACCAGAUAAAAGCAGUGGAAACUACAGAACUAGAGUACGUUCGGGGCAGAAGGAAUUCCUGGUGUAGCGGUGAAAUGCGUAGAUAUCAGGAAGAACACCGGUGGCGAAAGCGUUCUGCUAGGCCGUAACUGACACUGA